UGACUGAAGUGACGGGGAGAUCAUGUUGUUUGUAAACAUGUGUAACUUGUUGACAUUGAAGGACGACAACGCCCGUGCUCACCGAAGUCUACUGGCCACUGCAUAUCUGCAGCAACAGAACACCACCGCACUACCGUGGCCAGUCCUAAGUCCAGACUUUUCACCCAUUGAUCACAUGGAACAUUAUCAGACGUCUCCGAGAAUGUCAACGUCAGCCAACCAUUUUGGCUGAAUUAGGCGCCGCUGUUCAAGAGGAAUGGGACAGGAUGCCCCAAAACGUUACUGGACGUUUAAUCAGGAGCAUGCCGCGUCGAAUUCUUGCGUGCUUGGCGAAUCACGGGGGUUUUACCCGUUACUAGUGCAAUUACUGAAAUAUUGCCUAUCUGCGUCUUCUCCGGACGUACAUCACUAUCCUGGCUAUACUCUUUAAUGCCAAUCCCUUGUCACAUGAGUGCUUGUGUUUUACCAAUAAUUAAUAUUGCAAUAAAAAGUAAUACAUCUCUGUUA